rnacentral:rRNA from 1 species
GGUGAACGCUGGCGGUAUGCUUUACACAUGCAAGUCGGACGGGAAGUGGUUUUUCCGGUGCCGGACGGGGGUGCUACGCGCAAGAAUCUGCCCUUGGGAGGGGAACAUCAGCUUGAUAAGGCGUUUAAUACGCCGUAGCUUCAGGAGCGAAAGGGAGAAUCCGUCGAAGGAGGUGUUCGGGCUUGAGUAACUAGUUGGUGGGGUAAUCGCUUCCCAAGGUGGUUACUAGUAGGUGGUCUGAGUGGAUGAUUUGCCACACCGGGCCUGAGACAAGUCGCAGACACCUCUGGGAGGCAGACGGGGGGAAUGUGCAGCAAUCGGGGAAAGGCUGACGGGGCCAUGCCGCGUGGAGGUAGAGGGCCUCGGAGUAACAAGCUUCUUUUCCUGGAGAAGAAACAAUGACGGUACCUGGGGAAUAAGCAUCGGCUAACUCGGUG